AACGAACGCUGGCGGCAUGCCUAACACAUGCAAGUCGAACGAGACCUUCGGGUCUAGUGGCGCACGGGUGCGUAACGCGUGGGAACCUGCCCUUAGGUUCGGGAUAACUCCCCGAAAGGGGUGCUAAUACCGGAUAAUGUCUUCGGACCAAAGAUUUAUCGCCUUUGGAUGGGCCCGCGUUGGAUUAGCUAGUUGGUAGGGUAAAAGCCUACCAAGGCGACGAUCCAUAGCUGGUCUGAGAGGAUGAUCAGCCACACUGGGACAGGGACACGGCCCAGACACGUGCGGGGGGGGGAGAAGGGGGAAAUAGGGGAAGGGGCGAGAGCCAGAGACCCCGCGGCCGCGUGAGAGUGGUGAGGGUUUGAGGGUUAAAACGCUUUUUACCAGGGGGUAAAGACGAGAACCGGGAGAGAAGAACCCGCGGAAAACCCG
rnacentral:rRNA from 1 species